rnacentral:RNase_P_RNA from 1 species
AAGCCGACGGCUAGUGCAACAGAAAAUAUACCGCCGAACGAUAGGGCGUCAGAAAUGGCGUCAUGUGCGUGGUAAGGUUGAAAUGGUGGGGUAAGAGCCCACCGCCUGCGGGGCUAACGUCGCAGGGCAAGGUAAACCCCACUUGGAGCAAGACCAAAUAGGCAUGCUAUGAAUUGGCUCGAUUCGCAUGCGGGUGCGUUGCUUGAGCUUUGUAGCGAUGCAAAGCCUAGAUGAAUGGUUGUCCACGACAGAACCCGGCUUAUCGACCAGCUCCGCCA